AAGGCAUCUAAGAGAAAGGGAGUGUGGGCAUCACUGGCUCCUUUGUCCAAGUGCCUGAGGGUUGAUGGUCUUUUUCUAACGAAGACCCAGGUCCUUUCUCCUGAUAUUGAAGGAUGCCUGACUUUCAGUUCUAAAACUAGGAUAAUACCAGGCAAAUGGAGCUAGUUGGUCACCCUACCUGGCAUAAGACUGUGCCCAUCUUCGGGGCAUGAACCAUGCAUUAUUCAUCGCUGAUCCCUGGCACCUACCUAGGGCCUGAUACCUAGAGGUGGCAACCACUAUUAUUGAAUUUAUUCAAAUAUUUGUUCCUGUCACCGAACUAUGUUAAAGGGAAAUAAUUGGGCAGAAGGAAAAGCACUCAGCUACAAAGGACGCUGCAUUCUGUGCUGUUUCACGGGGAUGCAUAUGGGAUGUUUGAAGCCCCUAUAAAGCACAGAAGGAAUGUGAGCAGCUAUUUGUCCCUUUCUCUCCUGCCUCUAUCUGUUCUCUCUGCCUCCCAUUAUUCUUCCCCUCAGCUUUCAAAGACACAAAGAGGUAUCUACCCCA